UACGUAGGGGGCUAGCGUUGUCCGGAAUCAUUGGGCGUAAAGCGCGUGUAGGCGGUCCGGUAAGUCCGCUGUGAAAGUCGGGGGGCUCAACCCUCGGAUGCCGGUGGAUACUGUCGGGCUUGAGUACGGAAGAGGCGAGUGGAAUUCCUGGUGUAGCGGUGAAAUGCGCAGAUAUCAGGAGGAACACCAAUGCGAAGGCAGCUCGCUGGGACGUUACUGACGCUGAGACGCGAAAGCGUGGGGAGCAAACAGG
rnacentral:rRNA from 1 species